rnacentral:lncRNA from 1 species
UCCUCAUUCGACAUGUUCUUUAUAUCCAACAAAGAACUGAAUUCCUUCACAUAAUCUCGAACAGAUCCCGUUUGUUUGAGAUUCCUUAAACUUUCCCUAGCAAGCCAAGAAGCAUUAAGUGGCAGAAAUUGCUCCUUAAGUUCCUUCUUCAAUGCCUCAAAAGUGGUUAUCACCGGCCUGUCCACACUCGCAUCACCGUCCGUACGAGUCCGCCACCACAAUUUUGCAUCGCCAACCAAAUACAUACUCGUGAUUGAAACUUGCUCCUUCUCAUCAAUAUGGGCACUCCUGAAAUACUGCUCCAUGUCCCACAAAAAGUUCUCCAGAUCCUUUGCAACC